CCUUGCAGUAUGCCUCAGACCAACUGAUUUCACCUGAACAGAAACACUUUUCUCCCAUCUCUGCCUCCACUUUGCAGGCUUAAAAUUUCUCAGUAUGAGAAAUUUCUAUUUGUGCUGCCAGAAGAGAGGAUAAAGCUAAAACAGUUCUGUGAAAACAAGCCAGAAAGAACUUGAAGAGCAAAAAUUUGCCAGGCCCCAAGGGAAUUGGUUUCACAACAGCAACUCUGGCAGUUUUGGCCUUGACAGAAUGGAGAAGAGAACCACCUCUAGAUGCAGAGAUUUGCAUUAGGGACUGCCUGCAUUUGGGAAAUGAUCCAUAAGACUGCCAGCAACAUAGCCCAGUGAAAGAUGCCUGUAGGGAGUAUCACAGAAGAUUUGUGUGCUCAGGAGGGUUCCUGUCAGAAGAGAAGAAAAAGCAACUUAUUUCAGUCAGCAAAAGUGCUCAGUUGGAAGAUGGCUGAUCAAAGACCAGGGAGUAAGGCAGAGGCAUCAUUACUUGGGGAAGUUAUCAGGAGGCUGCCUGGAAGAAUUGUUCAACUGCUUAAGUAGCCUAUCAUCAUUUUCAUUCAAGAUGUGGACAUUCUUAGAGAUUUUGAAGAACAACAAAGUCAUUCAUCUUUUUGAAUGAUUUGGCAUCUGGAGACACCCAAUCCACUGGGGCCACUUCAAGGCAUCAAAAGAGAACAGAGUCGAACUAUUUUGGUACUAAAUGAAGACUAACAGGAUUUCUGGGAACAAGAACAUACAAAUAGCAGUUCCAAAGAGGGGGAUAAGAAACCCCAAGCUUUGAGCCACCUGUUUUUUUGCCUGCCUUUUGUCAAGUUGCUGUGGUUGCUCUCUGGUGUACCAGAAAGAAGACUCAGCUUUGGUGAGUAAA